CACAGCUGCAGUGUGCAUGGCAGAGGAGUGCCCUAGCUAUCUAUACAGCCUCUCCCUCACCACGUACCAUGAUCGUGCCACAGCUGGGAAAUGCUGGAGAAUGAGAGCUGAGCUUCAGAGACUUCCUGGCUAACAUGAGGAUUGUAAAAAAUCCAAAAUAGAUUGGAAGGGAAGGCUGCAUUCAUGUGAAACAUGGAAGAUCUGCUCCAAGAUCAGAGGGGACACAUUCAGGUAUCCAGCCUCAGGUUUGUGUAAGAGCUUUCCUACAACAGCCGAAGCAAGGAUACCCAUAGGUGCAGUGGCUGAUCUUCCAGAAAUACACACCUUGGCUCACCUCGGUGCAGUGUCCAUUGCUAUGAGAAACGAAUGGAAAUCGUUGAAAUCAAAAGAAGGGAUUAAAUGUUUGUGAAUACUUCUGCUUAAUUUGCAGCCCUUAAAACUAUUUCAAUUAAACCCAUAUAGAUCUCCUUCUAUCUCUAGCUCAUUUUUUUCUUUAAUAAUAUUUAAUAAUUAUUGUCCACAUAUCUCACAAUGCUUUUUUUUUUUUCCCCACCUGCACAGAUGUUUUCUUUCCCCACCCAGAUACUUGAGAAAUCUUGUAGAAUUUCUUGGUGUCAGCAGGACAGAGAAGAUAUGAGCCUGAUUAACUUCUAGCUCUUUCUAGGCUGCUGCAGUGUUGUAAAUCAAACCUGACAUUGAAGUUUUCUAGUUUUAAAUCAGUUACACAAGGUUGAGGAGGCAGAAACAAAUAAUUCUUGAAAUCACACUGGUGAAACAGCAUUUCUGAGCAUUUGAGACCAGCAAAAAUGAAUACUGAAGAAGGAUGCCAUUCAACAGUAAUGAAAGGCCAGAUACAAGCUCCAUCAUACAUCUAUAGAAAAUAACCUUCACAAUACCUAUAUAUUGUCUUAUAAAAUCUGCAUAUAUCAUGCUGCUUUGCAAUACAAGAUUAGGGGUGUUUAACUUUCUCUUAAGGCCAAAAACUUUAUUGUAGUUUGAUAGUUGAUAAAUAAAGAUGAGAUUGCAUGCAAUCUAAUUUGAAUGGAAGCUGAGACCUGUAGGUGGUCAGAGCUAUUAGAAUGUCAGGCUGGUUGGGAAAAUAUGCAGCAGUCAGCAAAUUUUAAAAAUUUGAACAUUAAGAUCACCAUUGCCAAUUAAAAU